rnacentral:rRNA from 1 species
UACGUAGGGUGCAAGCGUUGUCCGGAAUUAUUGGGCGUAAAGAGCUCGUAGGUGGUUCGUUACGUCUGCUGUGAAAACUCGGGGCUCAACCCCGAGCCUGCAGUGGAUACGGGCGGACUAGAGUGCGGUAGGGGAGACUGGAAUUCCUGGUGUAGCGGUGAAAUGCGCAGAUAUCAGGAGGAACACCGGUGGCGAAGGCGGGUCUCUGGACCGAUACUGACACUGAGGAGCGAAAGCGUGGGGAGCGAAC